rnacentral:lncRNA from 1 species
AGACUGAGCUCAGGCGGUGCCACCUCCCGGCUGGGGCGGUUGCACCUCCCAGCCUCGUUGGAAGACUUAGCCUGGGCGGUGCUACCUCCUGGCUGGGGCAGUGCCACCUCUUUCACUAUUUCAGCUCACUUGGUUUGGCUCCAAACUUGGCCCAAACCAGUCCGAACUUGGGCCUAAUUGGCCCCUACUUGGGUUAUAGGAUUAACACCUAAUCCUAACCCUAAUUAAUGUGCUAACUAUGAUUUUAAAGACAUUUUCUAAGCUAUUACAAAGUCCGCAAGUCAAGACUUCUUCUAGCGAGCUUUCGGCAAACUUCCGGCGGUCUUCCGAUGAACUCUCG